rnacentral:rRNA from 1 species
GUCCACGCCCUAAACGUUGAUUACUCGCUGUUGGCGAUACACUGUCAGCGGCUAAGCGAAAGCGUUAAGUAAUCCACCUGGGAAGUACGUCCGCAAGGAUGAAACUCAAAGGAAUUGACGGGGGCCCCGCACAAGCGGAGGAGCAUGUGGUUUAAUUCGAUGAUACGCGAGGAACCUUACCUGGGCUUAAAUGUCAUUUGACCGGUGCCGAAAGGUGCCUUCCCUUCGGGGCAAAUGGCAAGGUGCUGCAUGGCUGUCGU